UUGAUGACGACCGGCGCACGGGUGCGUAACGCGUAUAUAACUUGCCUCAUACUGGAGAAUAGCCCGGAGAAAUUCGGAUUAAUGCUCCAUAGUAUUAUAAAGUAGCAUUGCUUAAUAAUUAAAGAUUUAUCGGUAUGAGAUAGAUAUGCGUCCCAUUAGCUAGUUGGUGCAGGUAACGGCUCACCAAGGCGACGAUGGGUAGGGGUUCUGAGAGGAAGGUCCCCCACACUGGCACUGAGAUACGGGCCAGACUCCUACGGGAGGCAGCAGUAGGGAAUAUUGGUCAAUGGAGGCAACUCUGAACCAGCCAUGCCGCGUGAACGAUGAAGGCCUUCGGGUCGUAAAGUUCUUUUGUAUGGGAAGAAACCCACCCCUGCGGGGGUGUUUGACGGUACCAUAAGAAUAAGCACCGGCUAACUCCGUGCCAGCAGCCGCGGUAAUACGGAGGGUGCAAGCGUUGUCCGGAAUUAUUGGGUUUAAAGGGUGCGCAGGUGGUCCUGCCAGUCAGAGGUUAAAGACCGGGGCUUAACUCCGUGUUUGCCUUUGAUACUACAGGACUUGAAAUACGUAUGGGUAGGCGGAAUUCCUCAUGUAGCGGUGAAAUGCACAGAUAUGAGGAGGAAGACCGAAGGCGAAGGCAGCUUACUGGGCGUUAUUUGACACUGAGGCACGAAAGCGUGGGGAGCGAACAGGAUUAGAUACCCUGGUAGUCCACGCCGUAAACGAUGAGAACUCGGCUUGUGU
rnacentral:rRNA from 1 species